GCGAAUUGCAGAAUUCAGUGAGUCAUCAAAAUUUUGAACGCAUAUUGCACUUCCGGGUUAGUCCUGGGAGUAUGUUUGUAUCAGUGUCCGUGAACACAACCUUGUUUCAUUCCUUGAUGGUUUGGAGCAGACUUUGAAGGUCUUGUACUUACAAGUCCUUUUAAACGAUGGUACCUAUGCGUCCUCGUGAGAUGUAUUAUUUAAAGGUAUGCCUGCGCUCCUUUCGAGAGUCUUGUGUGGCGGCACGCAGCAUUCAAAGAGAGAGCAAAUCGCGGUAGUUUUGCUUGUGCUUCGGUACGAGUGGACAUAUAUUGCUUUUUGUGAUUUCGGCGAGGCUGUUGUUUAAGCACAGGGCACGUAAGUGGAGUAGGUAUGCUGGUGCAUUUCUUGGCGCAUGGAGGCAAAUUGGGAAUUCAAUCCAAUUUGGACCUGAUAUCAAACAAGACUACCCGCUGAACUUAAGCAUAUCAUUAAGCGGAGGAAAAGAAACUAACAAGGAUUCCCCCAGUAACGGCGAGUGAAGCGGGAAGAGCUCAAGCUUAAAAUCUCCAUACUUGUAUGGCGAAUUGUAGUCUAUUGAGGCUGUUGUCAGCAUCGCGAUUGGGGACAAGUCCCUUGGAAAAGGGCAGCAUAGAGGGUGAUACUCCCGUCUCUGCUCCAAUCUGCGGUGUGUACGAUACGCUUUCUUUGAGUCGAGUUGUUUGGGAAUACAGCUCAAAGUAGGUGGUAAAUUCCAUCUAAAGCUAAAUAUUGGUGCGAGACCGAUAGCGAACAAGU
rnacentral:misc_RNA from 1 species